rnacentral:lncRNA from 1 species
AGGUCUUAGUGCCCAGUGUGCGCUAGGAGUGAGAAAUCCAACUAGGUGUGUUGGUACUGAAGAUAAGAUCUUCAGUCGUCUCGGUUUGUGUCCACCCGCAAGCACACAUUCAGGUUUGAUGUGCAUCCGUAAGCACUAGCAUCGGUUUGCAGUGCACCCGUAAGCACUUGUCCAGUUGUUGGUCUGAUCAACCGACUGUGGAUGUAGGAAGUGUUUUCCGAACCACGUAAAAAUCUCUG